CUGCCUGUGUCGUUUCCUCUUUUCUGAAGAGAACUGGAGGUAGUUAGUUUGGAAUUCUACCUUCAGCGAUACUUUUCUUUUGAAUCACCCAACACACUGACACACCGAAAAAUAAUAGCAUGCAGAUUUUUCUUGAAAGUAAAAUGUAUGGAUGUGAAGUGACAAAGCUGAAGUGAUAACCCAGGCCAUCGCAAUUUGUCAAAUGUCCUGUUGAGAGAACCAAUGGCAUUCCAAAUACCUGUACCAUUUCCCAUUACUGUUCCGGUUCCUGUUGAAUUGGAGCCAAGGAAAACAAAUCCAUUAAUACAAUGCAUUGUUGACAACAAAUCAAACAAACUGAAGAAACUAGUUAAAGGAAUCAAUAUUAAUGGACUGUAUUCUUCUGCAAUCUGGAAUGAUGACGUUACCCUGCUGACAGCAGCAGCUGUAUGUGGGAAUGAAAAGAUUUGUAACUUUCUACUUAGAGAAAAUGCAGAUCCCAACAUACUGUCCACAAAAUGCCUAACAUCUCUCCACUACGCUGCAAAUACAGCAGGAGUUCCACUGAAUGUUGUGAGAAGAUUAAUAGCUGCAAAAGCUAAUCCAAAUGGUCAUCGUCAGCAAAUAAUGACACCAUUACAGUUUGCUGCCAGGAACAACAGAGUGGACAUAUUCAAAACACUUAUAGAAGCUGGUGCUGACCCCGAAAGAAAUUAUAGGAUAAUUCCUGAUCUUGAUAAAAAAGUAGAGACUCUUAUGAAUAAAUUACCUGCAGGAAAUGAAGCUGUAGAGAAAUGCAGAAUGUUUUUCAAUUUUACUACUAUGGUUCCCAAAAAAACUCAGCCAGAGGUUUUUAACUUCUGUAGGGAACAUUUUCUUGAGGAACAUCCUUUUACCCUUCUUGCACUUUUUGAAAGAUACUUUAAUGUUAUGAGCAGAUCAGCAGAACAAUAUCAACAAAGUAGCAUAAAGUGGUUGAAAGACUCCAAGAAAACGGACACCUACAUCCAGGGAUUUAUCAAACGCUUUCCCAGAAUUCCUCAUGAAUAUAGGAGGAUGGCACUGAACAGCCUAAAUGCUGUAAUUUGCAUGAUGAGAGAAAUAUCCCCUCAGAUAUUUAAUGAGCUCGUACCCAUUCUGAUCCCAGGUUUACUGCUCACUAAUACAGUGCAGGGAAAUGUGUUAAAUCUCCAAAUACUCAGUAUUCUUUGUGUGAGUAUGGACAAGUUCUCUAAGCGAAAACCUACAGCUGAUGAUAUUAACUCUGUUGUUCUUGAAGAGUUUUGCAAUGCACUUAUGCCUCUCACUGAUCCUAACUACUCAACUAAUGUCAGCAUUCUUGUUUACCGUUUGUUUGCUGCCCUGUAUGAAUUUGUCCCAGAGCACAUUCAUUCGCGUGGAUUAACCUCAGUGCCAGAUAGGGUUCUUUUUGCUGUAGACAUCAGAACAAAUAAUGUUGUUAAAGAUGAACUGCGAAAACUGGACACAAAUCUCAGAUUUCCCCAAAGUUCAAGCUUAGGUGAUGUAGCAGACAGCACAUCAUCAAAGAAGAAAAAGAAGAAAAAAAAGAGGAAAGGCAUGCAGCAAGAGACAAGCUCAAAAGAAGAUGCUGUACAAAAAUCAAAACUUGAUUCAGGUACUGAAAAGACUUCAGUUGAGGAGUCAAACUCCACUGUGCAUCCAUUUGCAGCACAUACUGAGGAUUCAUCAGUGCCAAGAAAAUGGCAUUCAAUCAGCCAACGCUGGAAGCCCAAGCUAGAGAAACUUGUUAGCAUGGAAGCAAGUAAGGUUUAUCGCCUGAGGAAUCUCACAAUUGGUGAUAUCCCUGAAUUUGAGAUAGCUAAAGGAAGUGAUGGAACACAGGUUUUUCUUGGACUGAGAGAUGACGGCACUGAGGUAGCUGUCAAACGAAUGUUAAAGUCCAAUUAUCAAGACCUCAAAAAUGAAGAGGAAUUUCUACGGCUUCCUGAGCUCGACAAUCCUUGGAUUGUGCGAUAUGUGGACUUUGCAGAAGAUGACAAAUUUGGGUAUCUUGUCCUUCAACUUUGUGAAUACACACUGGAGGAGUACAUCCUAAACCGUUUGCCAGAAGACCGUUCUCUGCAGCUACAGGUCCUGAAGAAAAUUGUAAAAGGAGUACUCCGUAGCCUACAAGUUCUUCAUAGCCAAGAUACCAUUGUGCUUCAUCGAGACAUGAAACCUCAAAAUGUUCUGAUUGAUAUAACUGGAAAGGCGAGAUUGGCUGAUUUUGGCAUAAGUCGAAAACUGAAGUUGGGGGAGACGACUUGCCACACUAAUCCUGCUGGGACAAAGUGCUGGAAAGCCAGCGAAACGCUUGAUGAGGACAGUAACCAUGGCUACAAGAGGAGUUCUGACAUUCAGGUUGCAGGAAUGUUGGUGUAUUACAUCCUCUCCAUUGGACAUCAUCCGUUUGGCAAAGGUGUCUGGUGUGAGGUGAAUAUUCUUCGUGGGAAGUACUCUUUGGAACACCUGGAGGAUGAAAUGGCAAAGGACUUGGUGGAGUGGAUGAUCAGUCAUGAUCCAAAGGACAGACCUAAAGUAGAGGAGACUCUUUGCCACCCGUUCUUUUGGACAGAUGGACGGAAGAUGCACAAAAACAAGAUUUGACAUAUGGCAUUAGCCCUGUUUACUUACAGGCCUCGGAAAAGCCUGCAGCUACACAGUCUAAGCGUCUGACACCAUUUGUGGACAGGAAAGCACAUAUUGAGGCUUUAAUCUUAGCUUUUGCUGCAGAGAAAACUCUGGCCAUGAGUGAUGUAGAAGAUCUUGUAGCCUCGUGUAAAGAAGUAGCUAAAGAUAAAAAAGCCUUGGAUGCACUUCACAUGGCAAGAAGUAGUGCAACUUACAAGCUAAUUCAUGGACUGAAUCAGACAGACAGUCAUUUCUUUAAGACGGUGAACUACCCAAGAAAAAGAAAAAGCAUGCUGCCAACUUAUGAUGUGUAAUUUUUCAGCAAUAUAAUAAAGUUAUGAGCUAUGAAAUAUGUACAUUGUUUUUGUAUUAACUAAUUUUCAAAAAUGCUAUCCUGUUUCAGUAAUAUUUACUGAAAAUAAACUUAUUAAAAAUGGUGAUGUUUGAUAAGUUUAAGUAGCCCUCCACUAGUCAGAGGAGUGGAGCCAGUCAGAUGAAAUACCCCUCAUGAGAUUUUUUUGAAAGUGUGAAAAAUUAGGUUCUUGUAAUUUGAAAGUUUGCAUGCAUUUUAUUCUAAAAGUUUCUCAAAUUUUAAAAUGUGUGCUAUGAAUUCUGUGAAAAGGUCUUGGCUUCUGGGGGCCAAAGGCCUACAACCCCCCCAGCGGGGCAUUGCCUCUGGACCCCAGUGGGGGCGUAGCCUGCCCCCACACCCCCCUGGCUUGACAUUCACUUUUUUUUAGAUAUCCCCAGUGGCAUGCCUGAAGUUGAAAACCAAAUAUGACUUAUGAGAUAUCAAACUAAAAUAAACAAGCUACUGAACAAAACCCUCAAAAUUAUUAAUGAGAGUAAGAGGUCAUGGUGAAUCUUUUGGCUCAGAGGGGGACCAAAAGUUAUCUAUAGGAAUAUCACCCAGAAGAUUACUAUACUGCUAGUACUAAAUAUAAUUUAUAGUGCCUCAUGUUAUUGUAGAUGUUCUGUGGGGGAAAGAAACGGGUAAGAAAGUAUACGUUUGCAUUGCAUGUGCUGAUUUUCAGUCCAUUCAAAAUAGUGUCACAUUUUCAACACCAGUAUUUAGUACAACUUAACUACACAGAAGACCUGAGAAAAUACUAGUGCAGCCCGGAACAUAUUACUAUAUCUCUUAGAAGUCCACUAAAACCGUAUUGGACCAUGUUUCCAUCAGCUCAGUGAAACAGAAAAAUUGAUAGGUCUUGACUACGCAUGCUGAAACUCAUUAGACAACUCGAGAAUGCUGUGGACAUGCAGUACUAUGUUACUCUGUUUUGCUUCAUGCUUUUCAGGAGAUCCAAAAUAUUGACCUGAGCCUCACUUUCAGUGUACAUCGGCU